GCGCAGCAGUCGCGAAAACUCCGCAAUGUGGGAAACCACGACGGGGGAACUCCAAGUGCGUACGCUUUGCGUACGCUGUUCCCUUGUCUAAAAAACAAGGGAAGUAAGGGGCGGGUAAGACGGGUGCCAGCCGCCGCGGUAAUACCCGCGGCCCGAGUGGUGGUCAUUAUUAUUGAGCCUAAAGCGUCCGCAGCCGGUUUGGUAGAUGCCUGGGUAAAUCGAAUCGCUUAACGAUCCGAAUUCCGGGUAGACCGCCAAACUUGGGACCGGGAGAGGUUGGAGGUACUUCUGGGGUAGGGGUAAAAUCCUGUAAUCCUAGGAGGACCACCAGUGGCGAAAGCGUCCAACUAGAACGGAUCCGACGGUAAGGGACGAAGCCCUGGGGCGCAAACGGGAUUAGAUACCCCGGUAGUCC
rnacentral:rRNA from 1 species